ACCAGAGGCACAACAACCAAAGAUUUGGAAAGAAUUGCGCAGAAAAUAUUUUUCCGUCCCUCGUAACCAACAAAAACAAAGAGUACUUUUUAUAUCACAGGUGACUGACGCCCUAAGAAAGCACGUAAAAGGAGCAAUAGUAAUCACAAAUUGGGAAACAUUGCAAAUAUAACCGAAGAACAAAUGGAUGAAUUGGAACGUGAACAAAUGAAAUACGUACCGCAGCAUGAACCGGGAGCGCCUGAAAAUUUUACGGAAAUUUCUUAGCAUCUUAAAUACUUUGCUGCAGCACUAGCUCUCAAAACCUCGGCAAGAAUGAGCAUCUAAACAUUCCGGGACAAGCUAGUUCUGCCACGCAUAUCCGUCUAGCUCUCAGUCUAGUAGGAUUUAUGCAGUAUUAUUGGCCCGGACAAUUAAUUUGUUGUCGACUGGUGACGGAAAAUUCACAUGUGCUGGAAAAACAGAUCAGUCGGUCUCAUCGUCCGCCAAAACCUGGUCCGUCAAGUCGUCCUCACCCUUUAAGUAACAAACAACCUAUACUAAAUCACACAAUCGCUACCAAACAUUCUUCAGUGGAGUACUUUUUAUAUCAGAGGUGACUGACGCCCUAAGAAAGCACGUAAAAGGUGCAAUAGUAAUCAUGCAUUGAAAAAUAUUGCAAAUAUAACCGAAGAACAAAUGGACGAAUUGGAACGUGAUCAAAUGAAAUACGUACAACAGCAUAAACCGGGAACGCCUGAAAAUUCCACGGCAACUUCUUACCGUCUUAAAUACUUUGCUCCAGCACUAGCUCUCAAAACCUCGGCAAGUAUGACCAUCUAAACAUUCCGCGACAAACUAGUUCUGCCACGCAUAUCCGUCUAGCUCUCAAUCUCAUAAGGUUUGUGCAGUAUUAUUGGCCCGGACAAUUGACUUGUUGAGGACUAGUGACGGAAAAUUCACAGGUGUUGGAGAAACAGAUCAGUCAGUCUCAUCGUCCGCCAAUACCUGAUACCUCCUUGGCAGUUGCCACGCCGUAAAUAGAUUCAUCGACUGCUAACGAUACUAGAACAGACUCUGCAGAUAUCCGUCAAACUAAAAUAAUUUUCUAUGCCCUAAAGGUCACAAAAGCCAAAUGGCGGAUAGAUCCAGCGCAAAAAGCCCUCCCGGUGAUCAAGCGGGCAAACACAAAUUCCAUCCACAGCACAAGUCUAAAGAACCAGAAGGUAACUUUCAUCUGCACAUUUCAUUGCACAUUAAUUUACUAUCUUGUUGUUGUUUCACAAUUACACAUUUUCGCACGAAUCAA